UACGUAGGCAGCGAGCGUUGUUCGGAAUUACUGGGCGUAAAGAGUGUGUAGGCGGUGCUCUAAGUUCGGUGUGAAAUCUCCCGCUUAACUGGGAGGGUGCGCCGGAAACUGGAGUGCUCGAACGUGGGAGAGGAAAGCGGAAUUCCCGGUGUAGCGGUGAAAUGCGUAGAUAUCAGGAGGAACACCGGUGGUGUAGACGGCUCUCUGGACCGUAACUGACGCUGAGGCACGAAAGCGUGGGUAGCAAACAGG
rnacentral:rRNA from 1 species